GUCAGUGUGGCCGAGUGGUUAAGGCGAUUGACUUGAAUAUGACUGUCUUUGUCUAUGCACAAUAGACAACUUUCAGGUAUCAAUUGGGUUCGCCCGCGCAGGUUCGAAUCCUACCGCUGACG